CAGUCGCCACGGGAAUACGAAGGGGGCUAGCGUUGCUCGGAAUGACUGGGCGUAAAGGGCGCGUAGGCGGUUUUGACAGUCAGAUGUGAAAUUCCUGGGCUUAACCUGGGGGCUGCAUUUGAGACGUCAAGACUAGAGUGUGAGAGAGGGUUGUGGAAUUCCCAGUGUAGAGGUGAAAUUCGUAGAUAUUGGGAAGAACACCGGUGGCGAAGGCGGCAACCUGGCUCAUUACUGACGCUGAGGCACGAAAGCGUGGGGAGCAAACAGGAUUAGAUACCCGCGUAGUCCCUGUCUCUUAUAU
rnacentral:rRNA from 1 species